rnacentral:lncRNA from 1 species
GUUUCGUCCGCUGACAGAACCCUCUGUUUUCAGUUCGUUUCCAACCAGCUGGUUGGGGGGCAGCCAUGGAAGAUCUGUAUUCGUUGCUGGACAUGCUUGGGGGGCCGUCGAUUUUUGUUUGAGAGGUGAGCUGCAAAUCCAGCUGCACUUUUAGUCUUCGUCUCACAGAUUUGGGGUCGGGAGAUUUCAUCCUUUCUACAUCCUUCGACUCAGACUUCCAUCUUUCUUGCUUGCGAAUAUUUGCAUCCUUUGUCUUCAGGUAUGCAUCCCAUCAACUUUUUAACAGAUCUUUUGGUCUUUAUUUCAUGAAUUUGAUUGUUGGCUGGGAGAUUUUUCGUCCUUUGUAGAGUUGUGUUCAUUUUUUUGGUUAUUUUGAUUUCAGGUUCUUGGGUAAUCUCUAAUGCUUUAUUUAGUUAUUUUUUACGAAUUUGGGUUCAUUUAUUUGGUUACUUUGAUUUCAGAUUUUCGGAUAAAACAUUGGAAAGCAAAGACUAAGCAUGCUUUUUUUUUUUUUAAUUGAAAAAAUUCCCUUUUUUUAUCUGCUGUUGGUUGUUGUAUUCUAAAUAUGGAGAAAAAAAUUGAUGAUAAAACACAAGCAAAAAAGAAGUGAAGCUUAAUCAGGUUUUGACAAAAUAGAAAUUAGGAAUGAUUAACUAGCAACCAUGUUGAUAAAGUGCUAUCUUCCCUUCUUAGAUUGGCUCUCCAGCAUAUGGUGUCUAGGGAAACAAUAUGGUUUACUUUCUCAGUUCGGUAUGCUUGGUACAUAAGUUCUGAAAAUUGUCUGGCCUCAUUGAGCAGGCAUGCUGUAGAGUUCUUGCUUGAAUGUGUAUGGUUUGUCCUUUAAAAUUAUAAUUGAACAUAAUAUUCUAGAUAUUAGGAUUGCCGCAGGCUUAUGUAGAUCACAGUCUGUGCAACGAUUCAAUCCUGAGUGAGAGAGUGGUUUUGUGAUUUUGAUUGUUUAGGGUGACUUUUGAUUGAGAUGUUCGAUUGAGUUGUCAAGACAAAGGGGAUGUAAAUUUAGAUCAACACUUAUAGAAAAUUAAAGUUAUAUAUUGAAGUUUUUGGUUUUUAGAAUUAGAAAGGCUGAGAAAACAGAAGUCAUGCUACAAUAUACCUGGAAUGAAUAUUUGUGCUGCCUUCUUUAAGGAACCUAAAUCUGUUAUGUCUUUGGCCUAUCCAAGUUAGCAUAUAUUAGAUAAAUUGUACAUUAGUAUUUAUCAAGCAGUUUAGAAAGUGUCACCUUAUAAAACAGGGCCAAAUCCUCCCUCUCCCAGUUUAUUCACUGCAUUGAAGUUGUUUGUUGCAGCUAAAACUCUUUUUAAAUUGAAGAGUGGUAGUUCUGCAUAAUUUUUCGCAGCUUCAGCUCUUUCUUUAUUUAUAUUUUCACUCAUACAGCCUUCCGUGCUCCCUGUUUCAUUCUAAUUAUUAGAGCAUUGGUUGUUUGGAACAAUAGAAUAUAUGUGUUUGUGUGAGUGAGAAAGAGAAAAGGAAAGAGAAGGGUGGUAGCACCAUACCUUCCAUUCCCAAGUAUUUGUUCCAUACGAAGAAUUGGUUGGCUGGGAGAUUUUUUGUCAAGAGACUUUCUUUCUUUUAGUUUUUUGUCAAGAAAUUUUUUGUCAAGAGAUUUUUUUUUUUUUUUUUGGUCAAAAUAGAAAUUGGCAAUUAUUUUAUCUUAGAUGGAAGGAUCAAAUAGAACUGACUUGCUUCUAUCUCCUUUCACUUUAGAUGGAAGGAUGUCUGUGCACAUAUCCAGUAGCUUUGUGCAUGUUUUCCUUUCACCCAAUUUCAUUAUUUUUUUUUUCCUUGAAAAAUUCUUCAGCCUCAGCACAUGUGUCUCUAAACCUUAUCUGUCCAAUCCCAUUCAGUAGCAUGAAGGGGCACAUGACUAAUAGUUCAAUAACAGCUUACUGUCUUCACAAUUUUCACUAGGAACCGAGUUCGAGUUUCGAUUCACAUCAGAAUAAUAACAUAGAUGGGUUUGUGCAUUUGGUAUUUGUUUUUGUGUGAUAUUUUUCUCUUAGGGCGUGUCAAACGUUUUGAGUGUUUUUUUAUCUGCUUUUGGUUGCUGUAUCCUAAAUAUGGAGAAAAAAAAAUUAAUGAUAAAACACAAGGAAAAAAGAAGUGAAGAUUAAUCAUGUUUCGACAAAAUAGAAAUUGGGUGCUUUAUUCUUUUUGAGCUUAACUUUUCUCAUAGAUUGCUUGCACUUGAGGGCAUUCCCCCGCAUGUUAUUGUUUUAAUGCUUUUGUCCUCUGUUGGGUCAUUUGGGUUGGUGUCAUUUUACAUUAAGUAUCUUUGAAACCACUCCAAGGACCUUCUCUCCUUAGAGUUGUAGUUUCAUUUAAGUUGCCAAAACGGUAUAAAGUAGGUAUAAAUUAGUAUAAAUUAGGUCAAAAUGCUUCUGUAGAGGACUGUUCUGUAUGUAUGGAAUUUUGAUCUUUGUGGAAAUAUGGAUGGUAUGUUAGAAAGUGAAUUCAUAUAGACAGCAUAGUUGGAAUUUUGAGUUCUUAGGUUUAUUUUUGUACAAAGUCUUCUGUUAGAAGAUUCAUUGAAGAGCCAUUUCUUUCCUUUUUCAGUCUCUCUUCUAUCACUUGAAAGGCUAAAGUACCUGCAAAGGCAUGAAUUCUUGCAGGAAUUAUAGCUCAUGAGAGCAAUACUUUUUUUAUAUAAAUCUAUUUAAAGGAUGAGACAUAGAAGGAUCUUUGAAAAUGAUGGUCUGGAAUGGAUAUUUUGUAGACCAAAGUUUGAGGUCUGUCAUUGGGAAUGCAUAAUUGUAUCCGAAAGCUUCCCGUGAUGAACUUUAGGAUCUUUGAAAAUUAUGCAUAAUUGCAUAAUUGGUUGUUGGCUGGGAGAUUUUUCGUCCUUUCUAGAUUUUCUGUGUGAAAGUGGAGGGAUUUGGGUUCGGUUGUGUGAGUGAAAUUAUGCAUCUUUGUGUGUUAUUUCAGUCCAAGUUUGUACCUUUGUAUAUAUGAGUGUGUUGUUCUGUUUUGAUAUAUGAGUGUAAAAUCUUACUUUACUGCCUAACAUGAACAUUUUGUCCCAAAGUUUGUGUAAUGACUGACAAAUGUAAGGAGUUUGAAAAAGGUAUCUGAGGUAUAGAAACCCCCCGAAGUUUGAGUUCAAUAUUCUCUCAUGGUGAAUAUAUCUAACUCCUCACAUGUGAGCCUCUAUCCUCAGCUUAUAUUGGAAGGUUGCAGUCUUAGGAAUUUAAACCCAGGAUCUCCAGCUUAGUUAGCAUGAUAAUAUUGGUUGGUUUGUUGCCAUUCACAGUACUGUAAUAAGAUGCGGGUCAAUAAUUAUUUUAUAUUCUCAAUUCAUUCAUGUUUAUAUUUUUUUCAAUCUCAUGGACUACCUUUCUUUUAUAACAUAUAGCGAUGAUCCAUUUCACCAGUUUGUUAUUUCUGUUUAACCAUAUAAAUUUUCUUUUUCCAUCUUUUUUUAAAUUUUUAAAUUUUUUUUUUUAAUUCAUGGUUUACUGGUCCUUAUUGAUUGUAUCUUCUGAAAGAGAUUCUUUUUGUGUCUGCAAAAAAAAAAAAAAAAAAAAAAAAAAAAAAAAGUCCCAAGCUUAUAGACUUCUGGAUAUUUUAGGUAUUGAAAUUAAAAUUUUUUUUUUUUAAUAAAAAAGAAAAACAGGAAUUUGAUGCAUGUCCUUCUGUAUUAUCAACUGGGUUUUCAUUUGAAUUUUGUAUACAGCUUCUAUAUGAUUUUCUUUUUUUUCCCCCGCAGUUGCAGUAACACAACCUGUAAUAUAUAAUACAAUUUACAUCAGAACAUAUGCUUUGUAAACGAAUCAUGAAAGCAAUGUUGAAAUGAGGGGAUCCGUACAGAGUGAUUUCUUUCCGUACAGAUUUUGCUCAAGCUAAUUUCUUGGUUUAAUGAAAAGAUUCUGCAUGCAUAAAAUACUCAAGCUAAUUUUUCUUCCUUUUUUUUUUUUUUUUAAUUUUUUUUAUUUUUUUUAACUAUGUUUUCUUUUGAUAUUUUGCAGGUGGUCUUUUGUUGCUUUGGAUAGAGCGGUUUGGUUGGUGUUUUCAGUUCUGUUAAGCAAGGGGUGAGUUUCUAGGCUGAAAUUUCAAUUAAUUGGUUUAAGUUUUGUGAAUAGAGCAUAGGAAUUAGAUAAUAGCAUCAAUUGACAAUUGGUUGGUGUUAAUUUGUUGUUGUAAUGAUAGGUUUAGAUGAUUACAAUAUUUGAACAUGUUGGUAAAUCCUUUGACUGUUUUGGCAAUUGGGUAGUUGAGAUGUUCCCUAAAGCAAAGACUAAGCAUGCUUUUUUUUAUUGAAAAAUUUUUCUUUUUUUAUCUGCUGUUGGUUGUUGUAUUCUAAAUAUGGAAAAAAAAAAUUGAUGAUAAAACACAAGCAAAAAAGAAGUGAAGAUUAAUCAGGUUUUGACAAAAUAGAAAUUAGGAAUGAUUAACUAGCAACCAUGCUGAUAAAGUGCUAUCUUCCCUUCUUAGAUUGUUUCUCCAGCAUAUGGUGUCUAGGGAAACAAUAUGGUUUACUUUCUCAGUUCGAUAUGCUUGGUACAUAAGUUCUGAAAAUUGUUUGGCCUCAUUGAGCAGACAUGCUGUAGAGUUCUUGCUUGAACGUGUAUGGUUUGUCCUUUAAAAUUAUAAUUGAACAUAAUAUUCUAGAUAUUAGAAUUGCUGCAAGCUUAUGUAGAUCACAGUCUCUGCAACGAUUCAAUCCUGAGUGAGAGAGUGGUUUUGUGAUUUUGAUUGUUUAGGGUGACUUGGUGGGCUUGAUUGAUUAUGAGUUUUGAGUCAAAUGUACUCAUUGUGUAUAUCUGUUUAACUAGGCUUGAUAUUAAUAUAUGCAUAUUGUUUGAGCCAUGUUCUAUCUUUAGGGUAUUUUUUAUUUAUUUUUUACGAAUUUGGGUUCAUUUAUUUAGUUACUUUGAUUUCAGGUUUUGGGGUAAUCCCUAAUGCUUUAUUUAUUUAUUUUUUACGAAUUUGGGUUCAUUUAUUUGGUUACUUUGAUUUCAGGUUCUUGAGUAAUCCCUAUUGCUAUAUAAGAGGAGCUGAGGUAUUUAAAUUUCACAACAUAUUGGAUUCUAUCAGGAAGGGGAUUGAAUCUCACAGAUUAGCUCAGGUAUUUCCAUCAUUGUUAUUAUUAAUUUUUUUAAUCAAUUGUCAAUUCAAUGACUUUGCUCUUUUCGAGAAAUCUUAGAAAUGGAAAUCAUUCUCAAUUUCUGUUUUGGUUGCUGAUAAAACACUGGAAAGCAAAAACUAAGCAUGCUUUUUUUUAUUGAAAAAAUUUUCUUUUUUGUUCUGCUGUUGGUUGUUGUAUUCUAAAUAUGGAGAAAAAAAUUAAUGAUAAAACACAAGGAAAAAAGAAGUGAAGAUUAAUCACGUUUUGACAAAAUAGAAAUUAGGAAUGAUUGACCAGCAACCAUGCUGAUAAAGUGCCAUCUUCCCUUCUUAGCUUGACUCUCCAGCAUAUGGUGUCUGGGAAAACAUAUGGUUUACUCUCUUUGUUCGAUAUGCUUGAUACAUAAAUUCUGAAAAUUGUAUGGCCUGAUUGAGCAGGCAUGCUAUAGAGUUCUUGCUUGAAUGUGUAUGGUUUGUCCUUUAAAAUUACAACUGAACAUAAUAUCCUAGAUAUUAGGAUUGCCGCAAGCUUAUGUAGAUCACAGUUUGUGCAACGAUUCAAUCUGGUUCUCAUCAAUAUUAACAUUUACUCUCUUCUCACUUUUUUUAUAACAGGGUCAAGACCUCCAUCAAAGAGAAGAAAAAUCAUGAAGACAUUGCAAAACAGAACUCGCCCAAUUAAAUAGCAUGCUGUUCAAAACUAUCCAAAUUUUGCUAUUUUGAUGCCUACUUCCUACUAUUAACAUCUCAAUGUAUAUACAAACAAGUGUACUAUUUUAACAUAACAAGUAGCCUAUAAAAUAUGUUAUUACUUGCUUUUUUGCAACUUACACUCCCUUAGUUAAACAUAAUGUUAUAAAUUAAAUCUCAUUGUAUAUAUAAACAAUCUAACUUUGUUUACGCAAUUUCAAAACCCGCAGCAUCGCGCGGGCUUUCCUGCUAGUA